UGAUGAUGGUAAGGGAAAUUUCUGAGCAUACUUUUAAAUAUCUCCCAAGCUUGGUAGAGAGUCCUCCUUCUUUCUGUGUGAAACUUAGAAUCUCACUUCUCAAACA
rnacentral:snoRNA from 1 species